UCCUAUUUUCUAGGGUUAGAUCAAACAUACUUCCUUCUCUCUCUCAUUCAGUCGUUUCUUCUUUCACUCUCACCAUUAACACACAAAAUUUGAACCCUAAUCUAAUGGCGUUUUCGCCGCCGCUGCUACCUCCACCACCGUAAAUCUUCUCUUAGAAAUAUGGUUUGUUUCUUCUCUGUUUUCGUUCCUCAACUCUUCUCUCUUUUUCGUUUUAAGAUUUUACUACUCUUUAACAAUUUUCUUUUUGCUUUUCUAUCAUGUUAUGCACAAGAAGAAAGAUAUAUUGCUGCCUAUGGUUUAGGAUUUUCAAUUAAAGAUAAUGCUCUGGUUAAUUUAUUUUUCCAUCCAUAUUCUUCUUCUCUUGUUUUUCUGUUUUUCAGUUUCCUAUUCUAGUUAGGGUUUUUCAUGUUACUAUUUGACUAACAUUUUUUUUUUCGAGUUAGGUUUUGAGAAUCUUCCAUCUAUCAGAUGCAUUUUCCGGAUCUGUGAGACUUGAGAGCUAGACCCUUUAAAUCCUUUGAUUUUAUUCUAGAUCUGUGAGAUUUGAGAGGUAGACCCUUUAAAUCCUUUGAUCAUAUUGCUAUUUGACUAAGAUAAUUUAUUUAUUUUAUUAGUUAAGGUGUAGGGUUUGAUAAUCUUAUAUCCUCUUUGCAUUUUAUAGAUCUGUGGUGAUAUUUGAGAGGGCUGGAAAAAUUGUGGUUCAAUUGAAUGGUAGAUUGAAUAAGUGCGGUGUUAUUAGUCCUCGUUUCGAUAUCCGCGUCAAAGGGGUUGAAGGAUGGACUGCAAGGUUGCUUCCCUCAAGACAGUUUGGAUAUAUUGUCUGGACAACCUCUGCUGGUAUCAUGGAUCAUGAAGAGGCAAGGAGAAAGAAUGUUGGUGGUAAAGUGUUGGGUUUUUUCUACUAGGCUAUGAAGAUGGCACCCUAUUUCAGAUUUUGAUGAGCUCAUAAGUUUUUGAGUGUUAGAGAUUUUUUCUUCUUUUGCAUGGUUAUAUAUUAUAAUCUGGCUUUUACUUAGGACCUUA